GACGAACGCUGGCGGCGUGCUUAACACAUGCAAGUCGAACGGAAAGGCCCUGCUUUUGUGGGGUUCUCGAGUGGCAAACGGGUGAGUAACACGUGAGUAACCUGCUCUUGACUUUGGGAUAACUUCAGGAAACUGGGGCUAAUACCGGAUCGGAGCUCCUGCUGCAUGGUGGGGGUUGGAAAGUUUCGGCGGUUGGGGAUGGACUCGCGGCUUAUCAGCUUGUUGGUGGGGUAGUGGCUUACCAAGGCUUUGACGGGUAGCCGGCCUGAGAGGGUGACCGGCGACAUUGGGACUGAGAUACGGCCCAGACUGGUACGGGAGGCAGCAGUGGGGAAUAUUGCACAAUGGGCGGAAGCCGGAUGCAGCAACGCCGCGGGCGGGAUGACGGCCUUCGGGUUGUAAACCGCUUUCGCCUGUGACGAAGCGUGAGUGACGGUAAUGGGUAAAGAAGCACCGGCUAACUACGUG
rnacentral:rRNA from 1 species